rnacentral:rRNA from 2 species
UAACCGUAGUAAUUCUAGAGCUAAUACCUGCUACAAAACCCAACUGCUUGUCGGACGGGUUGCAUUUAUUAGAUUGAAACCAAUCUGGCACUUGUGCUGGUAUUGAGUUGAGUCAUAAUAACUGUGCGGAUCGUAUUUCUAUGCGAUGAAUCAAUUGAGUUUCUGCCCUAUCAGCUUUGGAUGGUAGGAUAUGGGCCUACCAUGGCAUUAACGGGUAACGGGGAAUUAGGGUUUGAUUCCGGAGAGGGAGCCUGAGAAACGGCUACCACAUCCAAGGAAGGCAGCAGGCGCGUAAAUUACCCAAUUCUGACACAGAGAGGUAGUGACAAUAAAUAACAAUGCCGGGCUUUUUUAAGUCUGGCAAUUGGAAUGAGAACAAUUUAAAUCCCUUAACGAGGAUCAAUUGGAGGGCAAGUCUGGUGCCAGCAGCCGCGGUAAUUCCAGCUCCAAUAGCGUAUAUUAAAGUUGUUGCAGUUAAAAAGCUCGUAGUUGGAUUUCUGUUUUGAAUUUCCGGUCCGUAUAUUAAUUUAUAUGUGCACUUGGAAUUUCGAUUCAUUUUUUGUGAGACUGUUGUACUGACAUUCAGUUGUUGGCAUAAUGGGCUUGCAUCGUUUACUGUGAAAAAAUUAGAGUGUUUAAAGCAGGCGUUUCGCUGUUGAAUACAUUAGCAUGGAAUAAUAAAAUAUGACCUUGGUGGUCUAUUUUGUUGGUUUGCACACCAGGGUAAUGAUUAAUAGGGACAGUUGGGGGUAUUCAUAUUUCAGCGUCAGAGGUGAAAUUCUUGGAUCGCUGAAAGAUGAGCUUAGGCGAAAGCAUUUAUCAUGGAUGUUUUCAUUAAUCAAGAACGAAAGUUAGGGGAUCGAAGAUGAUUAGAUACCAUCGUAGUCUUAACCAUAAACUAUGCCGACUCGGGAUUGGCAGUCGUUGAUUUAAUGACUCUGUCAGCACCGUAUGAGAAAUCAAAGUCUUUGGGUUCCGGGGGGAGUAUGGUCGCAAGGCUGAAACUUAAAGGAAUUGACGGAAGGGCACCACCAGGAGU